CGCGUAGGCGGGUUUUUAAGUCAGAUGUGAAAACUCCGGGCUCAACCUGGAGACUGCAUUUGAAACUGGAAAUCUUGAGGGCAGGAGAGGAAAGUGGAAUUCCUAGUGUAGCGGUGAAAUGCGUAGAUAUUAGGAGGAACACCAGUGGCGAAGGCGACUUUCUGGACUGUACCUGACGCUGAGGCGCGAAAGCGUGGGGAGCGAACA
rnacentral:rRNA from 1 species